UUCUAUGUAAGUAUACUUCCGGGGUCUUGCCUCCCUUCUGCCCUGAUUCUUCCCUUGUGGGUGUGCUGUCCGCAUGCGCAGUGGCCUGCUAGCCCUUGGAAAGGAAGCAUACGCAGUGUUUACUGGAGUUGUACGCAUGCUCACUCCAGGCGUUCUUCCCUUACCUGCCGAAUGUCCCUAGGAGGUCAUAUACCAGUUAAACUGCCCCAUUUUGCCUCUUAGUGUACAUUGUGAGCCCACUCAACCAGUUCCUGAGAUACUACUGGGAAGCUGCUGAUCACCAGUUUCAGGUUUUUUCCAUCUGUUGGGAAACUGCCUAUCCCUUGUGCUCGCUGCAACCAAUUAUUAUUUUAGGGAGACAGUUAACCGCCUGACCAUCACCCGAUGAUCGCCUGAUGUUCAUGCAUCCAUGACUACAUAAACUUUUUGGCCGUUUGACCAAAUGGGGACAUCUGGCAUACUGCUAUCAACCAAUAUCACUUACUAUGUCAUAGGCACUGAACCACAAGCCUUCUGCAGGAAUGAUCUCAUUUAAUUCUUACAGCAAUCCUAUGAGAUAAGUAGUACUGAUAUUACCAUUUUACUAAUUAGAAACUUGAAGCUUGGCGAGGUUAAAUAAUAUGUCCAAAGUUGCAGAAUGAUUCAGUAGCAGAGGCUCAUUGAGGGGCAAACAAGAUCAAUCCAAUCCCAUUCCUGUGUGAAGAAGACAGACAUUAAACAAUUAACCAAAUAAAUAAUUGAUGAUAGCUGUAAUGAGUGCUAUGACAGGUGCUGAGCCAAGGCAUAACUUCUGUUCUGAGGGUUCAAGGAAAGCAUUGUUCCCUGACAAAAUGACAUUCAGUCAUGGACUCCCACAGUGCUUAGGAGCUGGCAAGGCAAAGGCUUGGGUAGGAUGGUUGGGAUGAAAGUAAGAAUGAGGAGUGAACAGUAUUCUAGCUGGGAGGGUCCAAAGUGGGAAGGGGCAUGGCAGACCAUGGAACUGAGAGAAGGCCAGCAGGCAGGCUGCAAAGAGGGUGAGGGAGGAGGCAGCACCAGAUGAGAUUGGAAAGCCAGGUUGGGGUGUCAUGAUAGAGGCUUUGUAGCCAUGAGAAAAUGUUGGGCCAGGCCAGGUGUGGUGGCUCACACCUG
rnacentral:lncRNA from 1 species